rnacentral:rRNA from 1 species
AUUGAACGCUGGCGGCAGGCCUAACACAUGCAAGUCGAACGAGUGGCGGACGGGUGAGUAAUGUCUGGGAAACUGCCUGAUGGAGGGGGAUAACUACUGGAAACGGUAGCUAAUACCGCAUACCAUCGGAUGUGCCCAGAUGGGAUUAGCUAGUAGGUGGGGUAAAGGCUCCCCUAGGCGACGAUCCCUAGCUGGUCUGAGAGGAGGACCAGCCCAACUGUAUCGGAGACACGGUCCAGACUCCGACGGGAGGCAGCAGUGGGGAAUAUUGCACAUUGGGCGCAAGCCUGAUGCAGCCAUGCCGCGUGUAUGAAGAAGGCCUUCGGGUUGUAAAGUACUUUCAGCUGGGAGGCGUUACCCGCAGAAGAAGCACCGGCUAACUCCGUGCCAGCAGCCGCGGUAUUUC